UACGAAGGGGGCUAGCGUUGUUCGGAUUUACUGGGCGUAAAGCGCACGUAGGCGGUUUGUUAAGUCAGGGGUGAAAUCCCGGAGCUCAACUCCGGAACUGCCUUUGAUACUGGCAAGCUAGAGUCCGGAAGAGGUAAGUGGAACUCCUAGUGUAGAGGUGGAAUUCGUAGAUAUUCGGAAGAACACCAGUGGCGAAGGCGACUUACUGGACACAUAUUGACGCUGAGGUGGCGAAAGCGAUGGGGAGCA
rnacentral:rRNA from 1 species